GCGCCUCCCCCGUGAGGGAGGCGAGAAAAUGGCGGCGGCGGCGGCGGCGCCUUGAGCGGCGCGUCCCAGGCUGGACAGGCGCUGCAGAGCGAUGGAGAAUGAACCAAACACAACAACAUGUUCUGCACCUACAACGACUGUCACCACCACCUCCACCUCCCGGACAGCGCUCCCGCAGAUCUCCGUCUACAGCGGCUCCGACAGACAUGCUGUCCAGGUUAUUCAGCAGGCCUUGCAUCGUCCUCCUAGCUCAGCUGCUCAGUACCUCCAGCAGAUGUAUGCAGCCCAACAGCAGCAUCUAAUGCUGCAGACUGCUGCUCUGCAGCAGCAGCACUUAAGCAGUACCCAAUUUCAGAGUCUGGCAACUGUUCCACAGGCAAGCCUGUCAGGUGGGAGGCAAUGUACUUCCCCCCCUGGGAGUGUCACUCAGCAGUCAAGCAUGUCGCAGACCUCGAUUAACCUCUCCACCUCUCCCACACCUGCACAGAUAAUAAGCCGUUCUCAGACCUCCAACACCACCAGCAGCAGCAUCACCCAGCAGACGAUGUUGCUGGGCAGCACCUCUCCCACCCUGAGUGCAAGCCAGGCUCAAAUGUACCUACGAGCUCAGAUGCUUAUUUUUACUCCUGCGACCACUGUGGCUGCUGUCCAGUCUGACAUUCCUGUUGUCUCAUCAUCCUCCUCAUCUUCCUGUCAGUCUGCAGCUACUCAGGUUCAGAACUUGACGUUGCGCAGUCAGAAGCUGGGUGUGCUGUCAAGUUCCCAGAAUGGCCCACCAAAGAGCAGCAGCCAAACUCAGUCACUGUCCCUGUGCCCGAAUAAACCUGUCACCAUUUCCAAGGGCAGCCAACCAGAUCCCUCAGAAAGCAAUAGGAAAGGCGAGAGCCCAACUCCGGAGUGCCGGAGCACCCCGGUCACACGGACAUCCAGCAUCCAUCACUUAAUAACACCAGCUUCAUAUUCUCCAUUGCAACCUCAUUCUCUAGUAAAGCAUCAGCAGAUCCCACUUCAUUCACCACCUCCAAAGAUCUCCCAUCAUCAGCUGAUAUUGCAGCAGCAGCAGCAAGUCCAGCCGAUCGCACUCCAGACUCCUUCGGGCCAGGAGCCGCCUCCAUCCCAGCACUGUCUGCCCCUCCCGAGCCACGGGCUUCCUCCGGCUCCCAGCAGCGUCCCGUCCCACUGCUCGCCGAUCCACAUCCAUCCUCCGCCUCUAACGCUCUCUCCCAGCCCAUCCCAGUCAGCGCAGCAGUCGGUGGUGGUGUCCCCUCCGCCGUCGCACUCCCCGAGUCAGUCCCCCACCAUAAUUAUUCACCCCCAAGCCCUUAUCCAGUCCCAGGCGAACUCCCUGGUGCCCGCGGCGCUGCAGCCGGAGCCGGCGGCUCCUCCGCCCGCUCCCAGCACCCCGGUGCGCCCGGUGGCGCAGCCGCUCAACCUUCCGCCGCACCUCCCGCUGCCGCCCUCGCCCGCCGUGCACAUCGGGGCGGUGGAGCAGCCCGGCCUGGUGUCCCCGGGACAGCAGCUCGUGCCCUCCACGCCACACCAGCAAUAUCCCGCCCUGCAGUCCGCUCCCAUCCCUCUGGCUGCUCCUCCCCAGCUCUCGGCAUCGUCCACCCAGAUUCAGCCGCUGCCCUUGCAGUCUGUGCAGUCUUUACAAGUGCAGCCUGAAAUUCUGUCCCAGGGGCAGGUUUUGGUUCAAAACACUUUGGUUUCUGAGGAAGAACUUCCUGCUGCAGAAGCUCUGGUCCAGCUGCCAUUUCAAACUCUUCCACCUCCACAGACUGUCGCAGUAAAUCUGCAGGUGCAGCCAUCGGUUCCCAUUGAAACUCCAGUGAUUUACCAAGUGGAGAAUGUGUGUGAAGAAGAGAUGCCCGAGGACUCGGAUUGUGUGCACAUGGCAAGAACACCAACACCACCCACCUUGUCUCCACCAGCCAUAACCUUGGGGAAUGGAGAGGCCCUUAAUUCAGAUGAUCCUUUGUCAGAACACGGGGGACUGCCUUCAGUGACAUCAUCAGUCAGUGCCUCAGUAAUUAAAUCUCCAUCUGAUCCUUCACAUGCCUCUAUUCCACCACCACCUCUUUUGCUUCCAGCAGCAACGACAAGGAGCAACAGCACCUCAAUGCCCAACAGCAUUCCUAGCCUAGAAAAUAAACCUCCACAGGCUAUUGUUAAACCCCAGAUCCUGACCCAUGUCAUUGAAGGCUUUGUGAUUCAGGAGGGGUUGGAGCCAUUCCCUGUCAGUCGUUCAUCUUUGCUGGUGGAACAGCCUGCAGAAAAAAGGUUGCUGGUGGAGGGUCAGAUCAUGAGUGUUGUGUGUGUGGAGUCAGACUUGCAGAACACGAAACACGCAGACAACUCAUCGGACACAGAGAUCGAGGAUAUGAUUGCAGAAGAGGGUCUGGAUGAAAUCGAAAAUGAACUUCUGAAGUGUGAAUUUUGUGGAAAAAUGGGGUAUCCCAAUAAGUUUCUACGGUCAAAAAGAUUCUGCUCCACAUCCUGUGCCAAAAGGCACAGCCUUAGUUGCACUAAGAAAUUUGGGCUGUUUACAUCAGACAAGACCAGUCGUUGGAAUCGGAAGUCAGAUAGCCAAAGUCUUGGGCGACGCGGGCGUCGGCCGAGCGGCCCUGAGGGGGCGUCACGAGAGCAUUUUCUUAGACAGCUUCCAAUUACUUAUCCAUCUGCAGAAGAAGAUCUGGCUCCUCAUGAAGACGCUGUUCCGACGGCCAUGACCACGCGGCUGCGGAGGCAGAGUGAGAGGGAGAGGGAACGGGAGCUGAGGGAGCUGAGGAUCCGAAAAAUGCCGGAGAGCAUCGACCUGUUACCAGUGGUGCAGACUGACCCCUCAGUGUGGACUGUGGAUGAAGUUUGGGCCUUUAUCCAUUCUUUGCCUGGUUGUCAAGAUAUUGCAGAUGAAUUUAGAGCACAAGAAAUUGAUGGACAAGCUCUCCUUUUGUUGAAGGAGGAUCACCUAAUGAGUGCAAUGAAUAUUAAGCUUGGACCUGCAUUGAAAAUCUGUGCACGUAUCAAUUCCUUGAAGGAAUCCUAGGAGGUGAACAUGAAGGUUUAAACAACAGUUUCUCAGUGACAGAACUGACAGUAAUAUGCCAACAUCUUCACUGUGGCAUGAGUGUUACUGUGAUGUUUUGUUAAAUUGAUGGGGUUUUCCCCACAUAAAGACUUAAAAACGUUCCUUUGAUUAUACCGAGUAGUCCUCUGUAGUUUCCAACAACUAAUAGGUUCAUGGUAAAGCCUGAGUAAUACUUUGAGUUGAAGUUUUUCAUGUAAAAACAUGGAGUGAAAUACGCUGUGAUAGGUUAAAUAUUCCCCAUCAUGUACUUCAUCUUAUGAGUUUAAGGUUAACACCCCAGCCCCCACCCCAAUCUAAACACCUUUUAGAUUGUGUUGCUGUAAUCUGAAAGAUUUUUUUCCCACAUACAGCAGUGUUUGGACUGAACUGACAGAAGUGUCCACAGGCCCUGUGGAAGCACUAGUACCAGUAAAAUGCUAUGCAUUUAGUUGUGCUCUCUGAGUUUCUUUUAGUCUUGAGCUAAUUGUUUGUAAGGGGUAGGUUGGCAGCUGGCUUACCCUCAUCUCUGCCACUAUAGUAUUUUCUUGAAGUCUGUAAAAUACUAUAAACCUUAUAGAUGUCUCAUCAAAAUCCUCAUGAUCAGGCUACUGACACUCCUGCCAGAGGUAACUGAAGCACAUGUUACUUUACUCUUUGAAUGCUGCUAUGCACUAAGGGGGCAUUAAGUGUUAGGUUUGUAGUUUCACAUGCUGCUAGUUAAGCUAGACCAGCAGUUCUCAAGUGGGGGUUCAGAGUGGGCUCUGAGGAGGUGUGUGAGCCCUCAGGGUUCAGGUUCCCAAAUGCCCAGGUGUGAGGGUCUGAAUGCUGCAGCCAGAAACAGUGUUGAGACAAGUUACUGUAGAGGCUGGAGGUAGAGAAGGGACACCAUAGCUCAGAUGUUCUUUUAACUGAUACCUCUUCUGCCAUGUCUUUCCCUGUAGUGCAUUCCCAUUGGCCCACUGGAAGCUCCCAAGCACCUUUGUUUGUCCCCUGGCCGGUGUGAGCUGGGCUUGCAGGAGUCUGAGGAAGGAGCACAGGGCAUUGCUCCAUGAGGCCCCCUCAGAGCUCGGUGUAGGAGCAGCUGCUGCUGGCACGAGGGAGCCCAGAGCUGUGGGUCAGCAGAAGGAAUGCCAACACUUGGCAGCUCUAGGAAAAAUCUCCAGGGGCCCUGCUUUGUCCCUCUGGCAGGAGAUUUUGUCUUGGAUGCUGCAGACUUAGGCAGUGGGAUUUUAGAGUCUCCCACCAUCUUCCUUUUCACACUCUUUGUGGAACAAACACGUGUUUCCCCAGUUUCUGAUGCUCUUGGGAGCUGCCUGAGCUCUGAGGCAGCAGCACCUUCUUGGCCUUUGCUUCUCCAUCACCUGUGCACGGAUGUUCAUGGAUGUAUUUUGUACCUUCUGUGCCCUCCCUUUUGCAGCUCCACUCCCCUUGUGUACAGACCUGGAUCCCUAAACUCUUGUGUAGGGAAAGAAGGGUACGUGUGCUGGUAGUUGUUGUGUAUAUUUGAAUUAAAUAUGUGUACGUGUCUGCAAAUAAUGUAUUUUGUAUUUUAUGCAAAUUAAUGCAUUAUAUGUGAUUGUGUAAGGAGGUAUUCGGGAGGACUGUAAAGUAUUCCUGCAAAAAGAGGAACUGACCUGAAGUUUGAGAACUGCUGCCCUAGAUCAAAAGGAGUCAAUGCACAUACACUGGCUGAAAGGCAGGCAGCUUUCAGGGGAGCUCCUCCAGCUUGUGUUUGUCCAAGUCACUGCCAGGUGCCAGGAGCUCAGAGCAGACCCCAGAAAGGCACAUCUGUUCCUGUUCUUCUGGUGCGUGACAUUCCCUGUGGGUUUGGGAGAGCCACAGAUAGUGAGUUGUGCUUUAAAUAUUCUUGAAUGCAGCAGCUAAGAAUGUGGGCCUUCUGCAGAUUGGAAGUUUUUUCUCCCUCGCUUAUUUUGGUAUUUAACUGGAACUUAAAAGCAGACACAGCUGUACCAACCUGGUAGAACUGCACUCCUGUGGGAGUGUUUGCCAGCAUAGCUGUGUCAAUAAAAUCAGAUUUAAAAAAAAAAAAAGGCACACUUGUAUGUGAAAAUAGGCUGGAAAAUUUCCAAGUGCAACUGAAGACUACUUCAGAAGCUUUUGAAUAUACUCAAAAAAGCAAUGUAAUACUUAGACUAAUAGUCCUCCAGAACCAUUUUACAUACCAACCACUUGCUGCUGUUCAGACAGGUGAGGUUUUCCCAGGCUUAUACUACCAUUUCCCAUGGCUUUUCCACACAUUAGGCUGGACCCCCUUGCAAAAGAGGAAGUAUUGCAGGUUUUAAUUGACUGGUUUUUAGCACUUGCUCCCACUGGAUGUAUCUACAAGAAAUCCUUUCAAUUAGCUUUAUUUCCUGGGGUUUUGCUUUCUAUAUUCAGACUUCUGCUGUUGUGGGCUACAUCUCACCAUAAUCCCUGCAGUAUUUCAAUUCCUAUGGGAAGAAAUGCCGGAUGUUGUGGGAUCUUUGCUCAGAAGGGAGGUAUUUUGCAUGGCUUUUUCCCUUCCUUUUUCUUGAGUAGUCCCCAUCCUGCCCUACUCCUGAAUGCAAACUGCAGCAUUAGCUCAGGGCAAACCCUUUUACAGGGCACUGGGCUGAAUGUGGCUGUCAAGGUUUCAUCCAGUAGAAUUAGAAUUAUUACACCUGUGUCUGCUUCAGGGCUUAUUUGGGGUUUUAAGGAAAUACACAGGAACAAUCAAAAUGGGUGCUCAGCCUCCCCUGCUUCAUCUGGCUCACAACACUGAGCUUUGCAGCAGGAGCAGGGAACUCUGGUGAGGAAGCUUGGCCACUUUGUCCUGGAUCACCAGAGACUGUUUGAAGGGUUUUUAGACAGACAGUUUUGUAAAUCCCUUCUUUACCCAUUAAUCCAUCAUAUUUUUUCCAGAAAUAAAGUUCUUGACGGAGGGUAAAACCUUUGCUAGAUUUUUGUCCGUGAGAUAUCUUAAAUGGAAGGUUUAUGUCCUACAAACAUCCAUUUCCUCACUUCUUUCCUGUGAAAAUAUUUUUUUUUACCCCCUAACUUCUUUUUGGACAAAUCACAGGUAGUAAUCCAGCCUUUUGGAUAGAAAGAUGGAGUCUACCCUAAGUGCAGAUGUGGCAGCAAGAGGAAAGGAAUAGGAUAAACCCAAGUAUUUUGAGCAGGUCUGUGACAGCUGUAAGGAAACAUUAGGAAAAGUGUGGGUUGAAUGGAAGUUUCUCAUGAGACUGGGCUGGGUGUAGUGUGUCACUGCCUGGCAUGCCAGCUAAAACUUAUGCCUAUUCCAGGUGACUGUUCUCAUUUUAAUAUCACAGUAUCAUUGCAGGAACUUCCAGCUCAACAGCUUAACAGAUUUCUUACACACUGACAAAUGUAGAGCUCUGAGGGAUCAGAGAAUUCGGUGACACCUGUUUUAGGAGUCCCGGUUUUGCAAAUAAUUAGACAUCCACAUAAUUUAUAACAUGAGUAGUUCUGAUUCUGUUGAGACUAUUCAAGUUCAUUCAAACUAAGCAUGUAUAAAAAAGCUUGCAGGGUUAUUUUCUCACCAGUAUUGCAUAGAGAUGUCCUGUUAGCAUAUAUUUAGAAAUAUAGUUGUUAUCAUUAACCAAACUUCUACUCAUCGAUUGUUCCAGGCUGCAGAUAAUGACUCUGCAAAAGAAUCAAUCUAGGAUACUUUUUUUAAUGUUCAACUUAAUUAGUUUGUUAGAGAUGGAGACAAACUAACAUUUCAGAGUAUUUUGUUUUCAAUACAUUGUUUCUGUUCAAUGCUGAGUGGAACAGGUAUGAGCAGAGCUAUAAAUGAGUAAUUUCAAUGUAAGUUGCUCCUAGUGAAUUAAUUUUCAAGUCAUUCUUGCUCAGUGGGCUGCAGUUUGAGACAGGAAAUACUGUGAGGAGAAAGAAAUUUAAACUCAAUUAAUGCUUAGCUCAUUUAAGAUAACCCUAAAUUAGGUUAAUUUUAAAAGAAUUUGCCUUUAGUCUUGAGAAUUUAUUUAGACCUGAUUGGUUCUAUGUAUUUACAUCCCCUGGGUGGCUUUACAAAUACCGACAUUUAAAAAAGAGGUGGUGAUUAUGGGCCAGACAAGUGCCAGCUGUGUCCUGCUUUAUCCCCUGGGUCUCGUGGUCAGCACUUUCACAUGUGCUCAAGGCCCCACCUUAAGCUGUGUAGGUUUGUGUAACCUCAGCGUUAAAACCCACACACACCUGCUCAUUCCCUUGAAGGUUGUGUGCAGUAUUUACUGAUCUCUUACAGUGAUGUAGAAGGCAAAAAAGCAAAAGUUCAAAGUCGUGAAUAUGUUUUUCGUUGCAGUUAUAUAGGAAGCUCAUAUUCCAGCUUUUGUAGCUGUGGAUCUAACUUUUCCAGAGCACUGUUCUGGGAGUCAGUGUUGUGAACAGAUUUCAAGUUAAAAAAUGUUAAAUUUCCAGCAUAUAUUCCUUCUAAAUUAUCCAAAAUAACUCUGUACAGCAAGGAGCUACACAAAAGAGACUUAAAAAGAUUUUUCCUCUUCAAAUAAUUAUAACUUGAGCACAAUUGUACAUUCAUAGAAUAUUGAUCGUAAAUAAUGUUCAAGUGCAAUACAUAACACUUAAGGAGCAUUCUAAUUGUGUUUUAAAAGCACUGCAUUGGUUCAUAGGGUUGUUGAGAGGCUUGUAGUGUUGUUCCUAGUCCUAAAUGAGGGUAUGUGUGCUGAUUAUGGGAUUAGGCUCCAAGCAGAGAUGUAAUCAAUUCCUGAGGUGUAUCUGCCCUGUGGAUGAAGCCCAGGCAGCCUGUGGGAAGGCUCGUGUUGUCCUCCACUACCUUGUCAGGAUAUUCCCAUCCUCUGGCAGCCUUUUGUGAAGUCAUUUUUUGGAAAGAACAAUAAGAUAUUCUGCACACUCAACUUCAUUUUUAAGUAGUCUUUGUGUCACAGAGUGAGCAAACCAGUACUGAUCAGGAAAGGUGUAAAGAUGAAGGGUUUUAUCAUUGAGUGCCAAAUACUCAGAGUUGAAAAGACACAGAAUAUCUCAUUAAAAUCAGUGUUGAUUUGUAAGACAUUCUUUAUGUGAGGAAAGUACAGAAGUUUCUCAUUAAGGGUUAACACUUCAGCUGCUCUUACCAUUAAUAUCAAAUAAUCCUAUAAGAAUUAAAGGCUGUAAAGUGUGUGAAAUGUGUAAGGCUGAUGUGCAGAGGAGAUGCAGCAGUGGUUGUCUGCAGUUCUUUUAUUUCAGGUAUUACCACCAUCCUGGCAUAGUUUCUGUCCUUCCUGGCAGUGAAACUGUCACCCUGUUCUAGAGAGGAACAUGGUCCAGGGCUGCAUGGCUGGAUCCAGGGAUCGGUGUUGGGACUGCCCAGAGGCACCAGGUGUAAAAGAAAAUGCACAGAGGAAAAGCCAUAAUUGCUAGGAAGGCAAUAAAUAGGAUGGAGAUCACUGCACAACUGGUAUCUCCCUCCAUGAAUAACAAGGAUGGAAGUGGGCUUACAAAGAGAGUUACCAUGAAUAUGUUUUAAAAUACUUACUCAGGCUCAGCCACCCCGGUGGAUGCUACGUGGAGAGCUGCAGUGCCACUGCUGCCACAACAGCCUAAAGGCUGAUGCUCUUUGGCACUUUCCCCUAAAAGUAUGGAAGAAUAAAUUUAACAGUAACAGCAAUCCAUUAAUGUUUGUUUUGGCUGCAUGUUGUGGAUUCCCUGUGGAAAAAAAAUAAUAGAAUUUUAAAAACUUCAAAUGGCUUUAGGAGCACUGCAGCAGCUCUGGUAAUUCUGCCAUGUUGUGUGACCUUUAAUUAGGGGUUGGGCAGCUGAACCACACUGAUAAAUAAAACACCUCAACAGCCUCACCCAGCUUGUUGCAGUUCCAGUUCUGUGUAUGUUUGUGAAUCAGAAGCAUGAGACCAUGCAAAACACACCUGAAAUGGACUGGAAAAUAACUUUGCCUUCAUCUGGUGUUAAAUUAAUUUUAAAUGAGGAUUUUCCCCCUGCCUGCCUAGUCUGUAGGAAUUAGUUAUUUCAUGAUCUUCUGAAAUGCCUGGUGCAUUACUGUAUUUGAGGUAUUUGCUGGUUUUUAAAUGGAAUUAGGUUUUGUAAAUAUUUUGUCAGCCCCAUUUCAGUGGGUGUCCAGUUUAUAUAAAACCUGAAGAAAUGCUGUGUCAAAACCUUGUGUUUAGCCAUGGUUUAUCCUAUAGCAUCUCCUGCACUAACUGACAGCAAUUGCAGUUUGAGAGAGCAGGGAGUGAUUGCUUAAGGUUAUUUUUCCAGUUAGCAUUGUAUGUGCUUUCCCACUUUUAACAUGGAAGUAGGAUUUCCUCCAAGUACGUUUUCCAGCAGAAAAAAAUGAAAUAAUUUGUGGUGCCAAACACUUCAAAAUAUGUUGCUAAGUGUUGCCUCCUCUUAUUGCACUAGUUUUAAAAUUCAGUUUUUGAUCACUUACUGUCCUUUUGAUGGCCUUUUUAACAGAUCUUCCCCCCAAACCACUUUCUACUCCUGAAAAAUGCUUGUGUCCUUUUGAUUACAUCAUGGAAACCUCAAAGGAAUUUACCCCAGACUGUGGGUGAAAGAAGCACUAUGUGGGGUGAAGUAAUAAAAGAAAAUAAUCAGACUUUAAUAUGUUUCAGAAAUGUAAGAUUAAUUUAUGAUUCAGAUGUGAUUGUGUAUUCUUAUGGAGUGAAAUAUUGGAAUAUUCUUUUAUAAGAAAAUUUAGCCCACAUAGUGUUAAAUUCUGCAGUUAAAUCUAUCUCUAUAAUUGAUAUAUAAUAAUGUAAAUUAUAACCCAAAAUUUAAAUUUUACAGUGGAAGAGCACACAGUGAAUUAUGUAGAAGUAUGAUCUUCACUUUGUGAGUCAUUUUUAAGAAGCACUUUCCUAUUACCAACUAGCAUGUGAAUGAAUUUUAGAUUCUCUCAUUUGUUAUGAUCUGUAGAAGUGAAACUUCUUUAAUCUGUCUGUUAAUGGGUAAAUCCAUCCUACAAAUGCUGAAACAAAGCACCUUAUACUAUGCUGCUUAAACUUGCUUGUAAUUGCACCUUUUGUUAUCUGCAGAGUUUUCUUAAUGAGUAUUCUUGUGUGAAAUCAUUGUUCCCUGUGGGUCUGGGGGAAUGAUUAACCAACCUACAGCAUCAUUUAGUUUCUCUUCCAAUACAACAUUGUAUUGUGAGUUCAGUGCUUCAGAAAUAAAUGCUACUUUCAUUUGUC